GACGGUGCGGCUGGAAGACGUCGUGGAUGAAGACGGCGGCUUCGGCUCGCGAUCAGAUUGAAAGUUGGUCGAUCGUGAUCGGGGUGGUCGUUGCAGACUCAAGCUGGAGCAGCAACGAUGAUGGUGAAAAUCAUGGUGGACUUAGAUAUGUUAAUGGAUACGGUUUGUUUCAGGUUGCGUGAUUGCGAAGUUGCAGGCGGCGGCCUUGGGCGAAACGUGCUGCAGCUGCAGGCGUGCGUGGUAAGGAGUCAUUACGGGCCGAUGAAGAUCAGGCAAGGAGAAAAUUGCACGCUUGCAUGCAUGGAUGAAACCGGCCAGAAUUGGGACUCCGACUUCGUGUAGAAAUUGGCCACCUGGUGGGCCCCACAGUGCAUGGCUUGCCAAUUGGUGGAUGUGUGCGUCUGGGAAAGGAAAAAAACAAAAGGAAUCCCUGCGUACAAGGAAAUAGGCCAAUCGCGGGUCUCUUA